GACGGAGGGUGCGAGCGUUGUUCGGAUUGACUGGGCGUAAAGAGCGUGUAGGCGGCCAUGUAGGUCCGUUGUGAAAACUCGAGGCUCAACCUCGAGACGCCGAUGGAAACCAUGUGGCUAGAGUCCGGAAGAGGAGAGUGGAAUUCCUGGUGUAGCGGUGAAAUGCGCAGAUAUCAGGAAGAACACCCGUGGCGAAGGCGGCUCUCUGGGACGGUACUGACGCUGAGACGCGAAAGCGUGGGGAGCGAACAGG
rnacentral:rRNA from 1 species